rnacentral:lncRNA from 1 species
AUUCAUGGAGGCUCAGCAUUUAUGGAGAAAUUCUAAGAUGACUGCUCAUCCCCUAGAACCUACAUUCACAUGACCUCUCAUCAUUCUAUGGCCUAACACCUGCACAACAGUUGGACUGUAAGAGAAAGACUGUGGACAAUACUGGUCUAUUAAAAGCUGAGACAUUCUAGGAUCCAGGAAAUGUCCUUCUGGUCUCAUUCUAUAGGUCAAAACAGUCACAAAAGUCGGACUAGGUUCAAUGGAAAUUGGCUCCUCUCCCUGAUGAUAGGAGUGUUGUUAGAUGGGAGGAACUUGGGUACUGUCCAUCCUGCCCACAAAACCCUCUUUCCACGUAUUCCAAUCCCCAGGACACAUUUCUAUCCUCCAUCAUGUAGGAAGCCAUUCCCACCAUGCUAGCCCAUAAGGGUCUUCUACUCUAUUGUUAGAGCAUUUAUCAGCUGUACUUAUUAAAUUUUCCUUAAUUACUUAUUGUCUUGUGAAAUUCUUUGUGGCAGCUUAUUGUUGGAUCUUCCAGGACAGAAAAUAGAAGAUGGAGUUCCAAGAUCCUCUCGAACAGUUUGGAGCAGGUGGUGGAUUCUUAGUUCAUGCUCAUGCCCACACGAAGGACAGAGCCGUGAAGGCCAGGCAGAGAGAGUGACCAACAUAUAUGCUCUUAUAUUAACACCUAGAGUAGUAAAACUCAUUACUAGUGUCUUAUUCUAGAGUAUUCAACUAUACAUUCUGAAAAUUAAUAUUUUUAAAAAAUCCUCCUAGCAUACAUGAGACCUGCCUGGAUAACACCCAUACAUCUACACUCAGAAAUUCUUGUGAAUGUAAUGAGUCACCUGGAAUGCCCAAACAGCUUUCUCUUCCCAGAUGCUAGAAGCUCCACCAUAAUGUUCUAGCCUCCUGGUUAAGCAAUAACUGCUGGUGAUAAAAUUGGUACAGGAAGGGUAUAAAUUUGAAUAUCUGUGUCUUGGUGUAAAGUAACUGAUGAGAACAAUGUUUCUUUUUUCUCUUACAGAAGAAAGCACAGCAGAAUGAGUUUUCUGGACGAUCAGAGGUUCCUGGUGCUGAGGAAUGGAGACAUGAGAAUGAGGUAUUCCCACGGACGGAUCAUCUCCCUUCACUUCAGCCAGGCUUGUGGGCCAGGAGACAGACCAAAUUAUGUGUUAUCCUGGGCAGUAGGAAGUAGCACACAUGUCCAUGCAAAGCAGAGAGACAUGAAAACAUGGAACCAAGGGAAAAUUUCAGAACAAAUAGAAAAAGUUUGUAUGGCUUGGUAGUCAGUUGAUGGAUAGUCCUCAAGUCUCUGGACUCUAGUCUCCGAGGCUGUGACUCUACUCUUAAUCCUUAGGUUUCCAAAGGCAGAAGAAGCCUGUGGGAGAAUGGGCCAUCAUGUCCCUAUGUCCCUCAGAUACACACAGGUUCUCUCUCUCUCUCUCUCUCUCUCUCUCUCUCUCUCUCUCUCUCUCUCUCUCUCUUUCUCUCUCUCUCCCCUCUGUCCUUCCUCCGCCUCCCUCUUCUUUCUUCUCUCUCCUCCCUUCCUUCCUUUUCUUCCUCCUCCUUAUUCUUUGCUCCUUCUUUUGGUACAAUCACCAAAAGAAGCUCUGUAGACAAUUGGAAUGACCAGAAGACUGACAAGACUUCCUCAGUUGAUCCUACUGACCAGGGUGGGGAGUGUUUAUGUAACUUCUUCAACAUGUUCUUUCUGCAAAUCUUACCCCCCACCCCACCUCCUAAGUAACUGGCUUGAAUGAUCAUUUCAUAUCAAAAGAUUACUGUAUCAUCUAAAGACUUCUUGCCUCAGCUGUCCCCCUGGCUAUGGGUAUCAGGCGAGUCCAGGAGGUUUCUUCACGCUCAUUGCCAUGGUUAGCACCAUUUCGUGUACUGAUAACUGGCGUGCAGAAACUGUGUUCUUUGGGGGUUCUUGGAGGUUUGUAGUGGCUAUUCUCUGCUCCAAGGAGGUAGAAUAGAACACAUGGAUCACACCUAGGUUUAAAUUGCUCUGUCAGUAGCUGCAUGAUUGUGGGCACAUUGGAAUACCUCUUUUAGAUAUAUGAAGACAUUUCCUCAUCUGUAAAGUGAGGGUAGCCACACUCAACUCACAGGAUUGUUGGGAGUAGUAUAUAAGUAAGUACACACUGAUUCUAAUAAAUAACUUUU